GGGCCACACUUAAAAAUAUUUUGGUUUGCCCAAACCCUACCCAAGGUAGAGACUGUGGGUAGGUAGGUACUAAGGUAGGCUUUUUUUUUCGGCAAAGAUAAAAUGAAGUGUCAGAUGUUCUUUAGUCUUCAUGCCUAUAUCAUUAAAAAAAAAACUUUUUCACAUCAGGACAAUAAAAGAUUUUGAGAAGGCACCUUUUUUCUGGGUAGGUAUACUUUAAAUUACAAUGUAGGGUUAGGGCAAACAAACACAAUUCUUUUUUAUGGCAUUGAGUUAAGAAAUAUUUCAAGUAAAAGUAGGGCCUGGA
rnacentral:lncRNA from 1 species